rnacentral:rRNA from 1 species
GAUGAACGCUGGCGGCGUGCCUAAUACAUGCAAGUCGAGCGAACGGACGAGAAGCUUGCUUCUCUGAUGUUAGCGGCGGACGGGUGAGUAACGCGUGGAUAACCUACCUAUAAGACUGGGAUAACUUCGGGAAACCGGAGCUAAUACCGGAUGAUAUUUUGAACCGCAUGGUUCAAAAGUGAAAGACGGUCUUGCUGUCACUUAUAGAUGGAUCCGCGCUGCAUUAGCUAGUUGGUAAGGUAACGGCUUACCAAGGCAACGAUGCAUAGCCGACCUGAGAGGGUGAUCGGCCACACUGGAACUGAGACACGGUCCAGACUCCUACGGGAGGCAGCAGUAGGGAAUCUUCCGCAAUGGGCGAAAGCCUGACGGAGCAACGCCGCGUGAGUGAUGAAGGUCUUCGGAUCGUAAAACUCUGUUAUUAGGGAAGAACAUAUGUGUAAGUAACUGUGCACAUCUUGACGGUACCUAAUCAGAAAGCCGCGGCUAACUACGUG